UACGGGGGGGGUAAGCGUUGUUCGGAAUUACUGGGCGUAAAGGGCGCGUAGGCGGCCCUCUAAGUCGAACGUGAAAUCCCUGGGCUCAACCCAGGAACUGCGUCCGAGACUGGGGGGCUAGAAUCCGGGAGAGGGAUGUGGAAUUCCAGGUGUAGCGGUGAAAUGCGUAGAUAUCUGGAGGAACAUCGGUGGCGAAGGCGGCAUCCUGGACCGGUAUUGACGCUGAGGCGCGAAAGCCAGGGGAGCAAACGGG
rnacentral:rRNA from 1 species